rnacentral:rRNA from 1 species
GAUGAACGCUGGCGGCGUGCCUAAUACAUGCCAGUCGAGCGAACAGACGAGGAGCUUGCUCCUCUGACGUUAGCGGCGGACGGGUGAGUAACACGUGGAUAACCUACCUAUAAGACUGGGAUAACUUCGGGAAACCGGAGCUAAUACCGGAUAAUAUAUUGAACCGCAUGGUUCAAUAGUGAAAGACGGUUUUGCUGUCACUUAUAGAUGGAUCCGCGCCGCAUUAGCUAGUUGGUAAGGUAACGGCUUACCAAGGCAACGAUGCGUAGCCGACCUGAGAGGGUGAUCGGCCACACUGGAGCUGAGCAACGGUCCAGACUCCUACGGGAGGCAGCAGUAGGGAAUCUUCCGCAAUGGGCGAAAGCCUGACGGAGCAACGCCGCGUGAGUGAUGAAGGUCUACGGAUCGUAAAACUCUGUUAUUAGGGAAGAACAAAUGUGUAAGUAACUAUGCACGUCUUGACGGUACCUAAUCAGAAAGCCACGGCUAACUACGUG